rnacentral:lncRNA from 10 species
GAGCUUCCGCAGAGAUCCUGCAGAUGUGAUUCGAGUCUUCCAGCAACACCACCUCACUCUGCUUUGCACAAUCACUCCACCUCCCCACAUGUUGCGGAGAUUCUCCUGGGGAUUCACACUCUUCCUACUUGCAGCUGUGACACGGGAAACAUCCUCCACCAGGUCUUCUCUCACAGUGUGGCCUCUGCGCACAGGUUAUCCACCUGUAGACCUGGACGGGACCCUCGAGGCUCCCUACUCUGACCAUCUGGUUUUAUAGUUGAGGAACCAGAAGCCGAGGCAGGGUCUCGACGGUGAAGAAGCAGGCUGUUUCCAUCUUCAGGAUACAAGCCAUCUGCGCAUAGGAAGAGGGUCCAGAGGCUCAUCUGGAAUCCCUCCUCACUCACUGGACGGAGGACCUGACCCCGUUCCCAUCAUUGGUUCUGAAUCCAUCAGCCCAGCAAGACAGGUGUCUCCAGCAAGUUCUGUAAAAUACAACCAUAGCCGGGCCUGGAGUCAGCCCCCAAUAAAGGGUUCACCAUGGA